UAAAGUACGAAUAGUGAAUUACCUUGUAGCCUUUUUAAAUAGAUCAUGUAGGUCAAAUGAAUUAGCUUGUCUUAUUUUAUACCGUGCUUUAAUCGCUUAUUUCAACAGGCAUGGAUUUAAUGAAGCAUUGAAAUAAACAACUUAACUGAGUGUAGAAAUAAAAGUAAUUCCAGUUUGGAUCUGUUCGGAUAAACAGACAUACUGGAUAAACAUUGUGUACACUACGGUAGCGCUUUCAUACUGUCGCACUGACCUGUGUACUUUCGCUCGGGGCAUUAUGGGUAAGAACUAUUUUCAACAUGGAGUCGUAAACAAGGAAGUGAAAGUGUGCUUUGCAUUUUUAGUUGAAUAUUCACCAUUGUUGUUUCCAGAGACUAAUUUCCAAAGUAUCAGUUCGAUGUAGUCCAGUAAGGCUAAAUGUACAGUCUAGUCAGAAAUGGUCCAGACUCAAAAGGCUAAUUACCAGAUGCACACUUUGUUUUCUUGUAUUGUAUUCUUGUUUUGUUAAUUGAUAUUUUUUCUAUACAAAUUUGAAUAAACAGUUGAUAAUUAGUACGAGUUUAUAUGAUAUCGGAAUAGUAAAAAUCUUA